rnacentral:lncRNA from 1 species
CUGUUGACAUACCAAACAGUUAAAAACAAAGUCAAUUAUAUCUCUUUUCAUCUUGUUCUACCAAAAUUGAGGUCGCAUAUUUUGGUACAUCUUAGUUCUUCCGGGAUGCAUGACAAAUUUUGAGUUAUAGACCUCUGUUAUAAUGUCCCUUUUUAACUCACUGUCACCCAGAACACACACUCUUUCUUGGAAUCUGAGCAACCCAUCGGUAGAG